rnacentral:rRNA from 1 species
CCUACGGGUGGCAGCAGUGAGGAAUAUUGGUCAAUGGACGCGAGUCUGAACCAGCCAAGUCGCGUGACGGAAGACUGUCCUAUGGGUUGUAAACCUCUUUUAUCUGGGAGUAAAACACGCUAUGCGUAGCCUUUCGUAUGUACCCGAUGAAAAAGCAUCGGCUAACUCCGUGCCAGCAGCCGCGGUAAUACGGAGGAUACGAGCGUUAUCCGGAUUUAUUGGGUUUAAAGGGGGCGUAGGUGGAUUGUUAAGUCAGUUGUGAAAAUUUGCGGCUCAACCGUAAUAAUGCAGUUGAAACUGGCAUUCUUGAGUGCGUUAGAGGUGUGCGGAAUGCGUGGUGUAGCGGUGAAAUGCUUAGAUAUCACGAAGAACUCCGAUUGCGAAGGCAGCUCACUGG